rnacentral:rRNA from 1 species
CGGGUGAGUAACGCGUGAGAAUUCACCUUUAGGUGGGGAAUAACUUUUGGAAACGAUAGCUAAUGCCCCAUAUACUCGUAAGAGAGAAAAGAGUAAUCUGCCUAGAGAGAAGCUCGCGGCUGAUUAGCUAGUUGGUAAGGUAAUGGCUUACCAAGGCGACGAUCAGUAGCUGGUUUGAGAGAACGAUCAGCCACACUGGAACUGAGACACGGUCCAGACUCCUACGGGAGGCAGCAGUGGGGAAUUUUCCGCAAUGGGCGAAAGCCUGACGGAGCAAUACCGCGUGAGGGAUGAAGGCCUUUGGGUUGUAAACCUCUUUUAUCAAGGAGGAAGUUCUGACGUGUACUUGAUGAAUAAGCAUCGGCUAACUCCGUGCCAGCAGCCGCGGUAAGACGGAGGAUGCAAGUGUUAUCCGGAAUCACUGGGCGUAAAGCGUCUGUAGGUGGUUUAAAAAGUCUGCUGUUAAAAAUUGAAGCUUAACUUCAAAGAUGCCGUAGAAACUUUUAAACUAGAGUAUGAUAGGGGUAGAGGGAAUUUCCAGUGGAGCGGUGAAAUGUGUAGAUAUUGGAAAGACCACCAAUGGCGAAGGCACUCUACUGGGCCAUUACUGACACUGAGAGACGAAAGCUAGGGGAGCAAAUGGAUUAGAUACCCCAGUAGUC